UAUUGAAUAAAGCAUUGAAAAUUAUGUUAACUUCUGUUGAUCUAUUUUCAUGAGAUGCUCUGUUUUAUUUUUUUACAUUUAUAUUUAAGAUUUCGCAUGACAUCAUAUAAUGUCAUGAUAUUAUCAUCCAGUUCAAAUAAGGCAAAGCCCAGGCCAAUAUUGCAAAUGAAGAGAAACAUUCUUUAAUUUAUUUUCUUCUCUGUAUGCUUUCUCAAUACUGACUACUAGUUGUAAAGGACAUAACUUUAGUCCAGUAUUUCAGUGUGCAUGGAAGAAGAAAUAGAUGAUGGCGAUUCUGACCUGCAAAGUGUAUCUACAGACAUACAAGGUAAACUAAAACUAUUUUAUUAAAAAAAAUUGUCAGCUUUGUGCUAUGGUAUAAUGCAGAGACACGUUCUAGUGACAGAGUCGCUUUAAACAGUGUAUAUAACAAUGAAUGAUUUAAAAUGAUCUGUCUCCUAAACAGGGUGUGAGGCAGUUUUACAGCAUAUAUAAAUCGGUCUGGGCAUUGAAAUAGUAAAUGAAUGAAUACAUUAUUUAUAUUAAAUGAAUUAUUCAGUGUAAAACAUUGCAUGUUCAGAGCCAAACGUUUUUACUGGGGAGCAACCAUAUGAUUCCUAAACUUCUAAAGCAGGAAGGAUGCCUGUAGAGGAUUCUGCUCUCCCUGUCAGUUAGGGCUUCAGCACAUAUCUCUAUGCCCCCAAAAAAUAUUGGCAUGUUUAUUAUUAUUAAAAAUAUCCUUAUCAAUAGUGAUGUCUCGAACGGUUCGC